rnacentral:rRNA from 1 species
GAUGAACGCUGGCGGCGUGCCUAAUACAUGCAAGUCGAGCGACCAGACGAGGAGCUUGCUCCUUUGACGUUAGCGGCGGACGGGUGAGUAACACGUAGGUAACCUACCUAUAAGACUGGGAUAACUUCGGGAAACCGGAGCUAAUACCGGAGAAUAUUUCGAACCGCCUGGUUCGAUAGUGAAAGAUGGCUUUGCUAUCACUUAUAGAUGGACCUGCGCCGUAUUAGCUAGUUGGUAAGGUAACGGCUUACCAAGGCAACGAUACGUAGCCGACCUGAGAGGGUGAUCGGCCACACUGGAACUGAGACACGGCCCAGACUCCUACGGGAGGCAGCAGUAGGGAAUCUUCGGCAAUGGGCGAAAGCCUGACGGAGCAACGCCGCGUGAGUGAUGAAGGUCUUCGGGUCGUAAAACUCUGUUAUUCGGGAAGAAAAAACGUGUAAGUAAACGUGCGCGGCUUGACGGUACCGAAAGAGAAAGCCACGGCUAACUACGUG